rnacentral:lncRNA from 1 species
UUUCUCUGCUGCAACCUGGUGGUGUCUCAGCAUAUUGACUUGCUGUGUGCAUUGGGCUCUGUGGCCAACAGGAGACACUCAAUAUGGGAUUGCUGGGUGAAUGUAUCAGUGAAUUAAUGAAUGAAUGAUGCAAUACACAUGAAGAGGGAGAGAAAUUUUUGUUUGGUUGUUUGAUGGUUUGGGCAGGGAGAAGGGAGAAUGUCAAUUAACAUCAUGUCCUGUAUCAAACACUAAGAGUCUAAUUUCACAAACCCCUGAUGCUCAUGUAUGAAGCUGGAAAGGAGGAAGGGGUGAGUCAAAGAAAAGCAACGCGCUAAGUAAUUAAGCUACUAACUCUCUCAUCUGUGCCGUGCACAAGAUACUUCCACUAAGUGUAAACUAUAGUUUCCAUCAG